UGCCGCCGGCUGCUUGCCGCGGCUGUGCUCACACUGACUGUAGACGGAGGAGGCAGGGCACACCUUCCCCGUACACACAGCUCAGGCCUCGUGCCUGUGUGUACUGUGAAUGGGGGGACAUGG
ensembl:snoRNA